rnacentral:piRNA from 1 species
UUAAAAUCUUUGUAUCUGCAA